rnacentral:rRNA from 1 species
GAUGAACGCUGGCGGCGUGCCUAAUACAUGCAAGUCGAGCGAACGGACGAUAAGCUUGCUUCUCUGAUUUUAGCGGCGGACGGGUGAGUAACACGUGGAUAACCUACCUAUAUGACUGGGAUAACUUCGGGAAACCGGAUCUAAUACCGGAUAAUAUUUUGAACCGCAUGGUUCAAAAGUGAAAGACGGUCUUGCUGUCACUUAUAGAUGGUUCCGCGCUGCAUUAGCUAGUUGGUAAGGUAACGGCUUACCAAGGCAACGAUGCAUAGCCGACCUGAGAGGGUGAUCGGCCACACUGGAACUGAGACACGGUACAGACGCCUACGGGAGGCAGCAGUAGGGAAUAUUCCGCAAUGGGCGAAAGCCUGACGGAGAAACGCCGCGUGAGUGAUGAAGGUCUUCGGAUCGUAAAACUCUGUUAUUAGGGAAGAACAUAUGUGUAAGUAAAUGUGCACAUCUUGACGGUAACUAAUCAGAAAGCAACGGCUAACUACGUG